rnacentral:rRNA from 1 species
UACGUAGGUGGCAAGCGUUGUCCGGAUUUACUGGGCGUAAAGAGCGCGCAGGCGGUCGUUCAAGUCGCGUGUGAAAGCCCCCGGCUCAACUGGGGAGGGUCACGCGAUACUGAUCGACUCGAAGGCAGGAGAGGGUAGUGGAAUUCCCGGUGUAGUGGUGAAAUGCGUAGAUAUCGGGAGGAACACCAGUGGCGAAGGCGGCUACCUGGCCCACUCUUGACGCUGAGGCGCGAAAGCUAGGGGAGCAACGGG